AUGCACUGGCGGGCAUGGAUUCAUCUAAUCAAGCCCAAGGCGCAAGGUGGACUGGGCUUCCGAGACCUACGACUUUUUAAUCAGGCACUUCUUCUAGCACGCCAAGCUUGGAGGCUACUUACAAACCCUGAUAGCUUGUGUGCCCGGUUACUGAAAGCACGCUACUACCCGUUUGGUAGCUUGGAGGAUACUGUUUUCUCAACAACGACCUCAGUUACUUGGCAAGCAAUUCAACACGGGCUUGAGCUCCUGAAGAAGGGAUUGAUCUGGCGCAUAGGCAAUGGUCGAGCGAUCAGGAUAUGGCGCGAUAGCUGAAUCCCCAGGAAUGGGAGUGGGAGGCCUGCUACCCCCCAAGGAAUAUGCCGGGUGCGGCGUGUAUGUGACUUGCUGGAUGACCAUGGAGCAUGGAAUAUGGACUUGGUUCGGAGCAUUUUUUUGCCGGUCGACGCGGAUGUGAUUGCAACAAUUAAAACCUUUCCUGGGUUGGGUCCAGACAUGCUUGCAUGGGAGCCAGAACGCAGCGGGAACUUCACCGUGAGGAGU
rnacentral:rRNA from 1 species